rnacentral:rRNA from 1 species
AACGAACGCUGGCGGCAUGCCUAACACAUGCAAGUCGAACGAGACCUUCGGGUCUAGUGGCGCACGGGUGCGUAACGCGUGGGAACCUGCCCUUAGGUUCGGAAUAACUCCCCGAAAGGGGUGCUAAUACCGGAUAAUCUCUUCGGACCAAAGAUUUAUCGCCUUUGGAUGGGCCCUCGUUGGAUUAGUUAGUUGGUAGGGUAAAAGCCUACCAAGGCGAGGAUCCAUAGCUGGUCUGGGAGGAUGAUCAACCACACUGGGACUGAGACACGGCCCAGACGCCUACGGGAGGCAGCAGUGGGGAAUAUUGGACAAGGGGCGAAAGUCUGAUCCAGCAAUGCCGGGUGAGUGAUGAAGGCGUUAGGGUUGUAAAGCUCUUUUACACGGGAUGAUAAUGACGGUACCGGGAGAAUAAGCUCCGGCUAACUCCGUG